rnacentral:rRNA from 1 species
AACCCGACUCCACGAAGUUGGAUUCGCUAGUAAUCGCGCAUCAGCCAUGGCGCGGUGAGUACGUUCCCGGGCCUUGUACACACCGCCCGUCAAGCCAUGGGAGCCGGGGGCGCCUGAAGUCCGGGACCGCGAGGACCGGCCUAGGGCGAAACUGGUAACUGGGGCUAAGUCGUAACAAGGUAGC